GCAUGCUGAUAUCAGCUCCUGGUCUCCAUGUUUGUUUGUGUCAAUGAGCACUUAUACGGACACAACAAUUGGCGACGAGUGGCUUCUGAACACAGGCCACACCUGCGAGAACAGAAAGAAGUGGCAGUGUUUGUGAAGGACUCACCGUGCACUCUGUUCAGCUGCAAGUACUGCUACUGUGGAUUCUACAUGGAGAAAUGUAGAAGAGGACGUGAAUGGCUGCAGGGAGUACAGGGGUAGACCAUUCCACGCAGGGUAAUCCUAUGCAGCGCGCCCAAGAUGGCUUCUUCACCUGGUACCUGUGAGGGUAGAAUACACAACCCGUGGAAGAUGUUACCCAAAAUGUCUACACAAAUCCUGCAUUAUGCUUACUGUGUCCUCAAGGUUUUCUUUUUAUGUCUGUGUGGCUUGUCAAUUGCUUUAUUACUUACAUUUUCUGUAUUGUGUGCAUUGUUUUUGAUGUCUGUAAAGCGCCUUGAGUCCUGUUGGAAAAAGAGCGCUAUAUAAAUAAACUUAUUAU